GUGCCUGCUUUGGCAGCACAUAUACUAAAAUUGGAAUGAUACAAAGAAGAUUAGCAUAAACCCUCCACAAAAAUGACACACAAAUUUGUGAAGCAUUCCAUAUUUUC